UACGGAGGGUGCAAGCGUUAUCCGGAUUCACUGGGUUUAAAGGGUGCGUAGGCGGCUUUAUAAGUCAUUGGUGAAAGCUCGCAGCUUAACUGUGAAACUGCCAAUGAAACUGUUUAGCUUGAAUGUGGUUGAAGUGGGCGGAAUACAACAUGUAGCGGUGAAAUGCUUAGAUAUGUUUUAGAACACCGAUUGCGAAGGCAGCUCACUAAGCCAAUAUUGACGCUGAGGCACGAAAGCGUGGGUAGCAAACAGG
rnacentral:rRNA from 1 species